rnacentral:lncRNA from 1 species
UUUAAAUAAUGUGUGUGCAUGAAUGUAGAUUUUUUUUCUUUUAGCAACUUGUGGCAAGUAAGUUUUUAUUUUUAAUUAAAUUUCACACAGGAAUCAUUGACAUUAUGUGUAUGUAAAAAGCCUGAAUUGUCCCUUUCUUCUAAUGUUGUUUAUUUUUUUUAUUUAUUUAUUAAUUUAUCCUCACACUUUAAAUGUAUAAAAGUAAAAUGUGCAAACAGAAGAAAGAGAAUUGAAGAUCUUGUUCACAUCCUUUAUUUUCCUUCCCUGCACAUUGGAGCAGGGCGCAACAGGGCCCGCUGGUCUUCGAGGCCAACCAGGGAAUCCAGGAGAGCCUGGCGUCAGAGGACCAACAGGACCCAUGGGACCUAAUGGGCUGCCAGGUCCGUCCGGUGUAAAG